UUCAAUACAUUUCUAGUGAUUCAUGUGAAACAGAGAAAAAGAUAGACUGCCCUGUUAAUGAACAUGAGAUUGCCCAGUAUCACUCUGACAGAAGAGUAUGGUGUUUCCUUGAUAUGGUAUCUGGUCAGCAAUGUCAUUGGGACCAAAUGAAAGUUACUGCAGAUACCACACAGAAGCAAUUACUGUUACUGGAAUACCAGUAAUGUUUAUUAAAUUCAGUUGUAAAGUAGUUCUGGGCAUUGCAGCUGGUGAGCAAUGUCAUUGGGCACCAAAAGAAGUUCAGUUAUGAUGGAUUUCUGGCCUUCAGUCCAUGGGAAAAUUCACACCAGAUUGCAUCAAGACUGUUAUAUUCCAAGGAUAUCUUGGGAGAUUGAUAGUAUUCCUGAACGAAAACAAUCCAUAUAGUAUUGCACGUGUGUAUCAAACUGCCAUUUGUUGUGGCACGUAAAUGUUUGCAACUUGAUUGUAAUUUUUGAACAGUUUCUCAACAAUCCAAGAAUUUCUUGUAAUGAGAAGUAGACAUUGUUGCUUGGGUAAAGGAAAUACAAAUCACGGUCAAUAUAACUACCUUAUUAACUUUCCACAGAGAAAUAUUUUUCACUACUGCUACUUAAAAAUUCAAAUGUGUGACAAAGUUUGCUUACAGAACUUGGCAUAAAGAUCUCCCUUAUUUGUAUUUUUUAGGUAGCUCUUAUUGUUUGAUCCUUCAAAUGGAAUGCUGUGACCUCCAUGUGAUCUAUUCCUUAGUAGUUAAUUAUCCAUUAAGGCACAAAUAUAUGAACAUUACAAUGAGAGGGGUCUUUAUGCCAGGCCCUGUAAAAGUAAUGGCAUCUUACUUAAUAUUAUUGUUGGGAAUUUGAUGGCACAGCUGUGGGGAGACCACAAAUUUCAGGGUUUGCUAACUGCAAAUCUGGCACACAGUUGCUGAGUGAUUCAAGUACUUUUCAUAAUGUUUCACUGUUGAUACAGUUGUAUGUGAGAUUAUAAACCUGUUUGAACAACACCUUCACUUCAAAUUGCUGCAAAGAAAUGGUUACGGUAUCAGUGUGAUGCUCUAUGUGUGUUUCCUCAACUGUGUCCUCAUUGCUACUGUCUUCAUGUGAAAUUACUGCGGACACACUUCUGAAACCAAACCUGUACAUCUUGUGAAGACAGAUUAAUGGGCUAUUCCUGCAGCUUUCUGGUAUUUUAUCAAAACCCCACUCUGGAUAGAAAAUAAAGAUUGCACAGAAAUGCUUGCAUGGGUAUUUAUAUAUCUCAAAAUCUUCACAUGAGCAGUUUGGUAGAGCAAAGCUUACAACAUAAUUAGUCUUUGAACAUUGUACUCUCCAUACAAAACAUUGUCCAAGUUCACAUUCACCAAUCUUGCAGUUAAUUCAACUUUCCCUGGUGCAUAUCACUGCAUGACAUGUUUC